CAAUGGGGAUGACGAUAAACCAGAUAACGAAGAAGGCUGGGAGAACUGUGCCCGCUGUCAGAAUGGGUUGCCAAGCAGAUUGUGGCUCUGCAGCUGUGAACUGUGUGGAAACCUUUACAUUAGUAAAUGAAAGCCUACUCCAAAAUAUCAGGCAACAGAGGCAAUGCAAGAGGCGUCUGAAGAUGAACACCAAGCUUUGUCCUCUCCAGAAGUUUGGGCCGGCAGAGUCUUUCACAAACUGAGAGGAUGAGAGAGAAAAGCGAGAGAGAGAGAGAGAG